ACAACGGUACUUUUCAGUGCCACCAAAACAUCAAAAACAUCAAUA
rfam:Danio rerio chromosome 6, GRCz11 reference primary assembly.